rnacentral:tRNA from 1 species
GCCCAGGUGGCGGAAUUGGUAGACGCGCUAGCUUCAGGUGCUAGUGUCCAAUAGGAUGUGCGAGUUCGAGUCUCGCCCUGGGCACCA